rnacentral:rRNA from 1 species
AGGGUUCGAUUCUGGCUCAGGAUGAACGCUAGCUACAGGCUUAACACAUGCAAGUCGAGGGGCAGCAUGGGGGUUGCUUGCAACCUCCGAUGGCGACCGGCGCACGGGUGAGUAACGCGCAUCCAACCUUCCCCCUAGUAGGGGAUAGCCCGGCGAAGGUCGGAUUAACACCCUAUGUUGUUUGAUGCGGACAUCUAAAUCAAACCAAAGAUUCAUCGCUAGGGGAUGGGGAUGCGUCCGAUUAGGUAGUAGGCGGGGCAACGGCCCACCUAGCCUGCGAUCGGUAGGGGUUCUGAGAGGAAGGUCCCCCACAUUGGAACUGAGACACGGUCCAAACUCCUACGGGAGGCAGCAGUGAGGAAUAUUGGUCAAUGGGCGAGAGCCUGAACCAGCCAAGUAGCCGUGCAGGAUGACGGCCCUAUGGGUUGUAAACUGCUUUUAUCAGGGGAUAAAGUGAGGGACGCGUCCCUUUUUGUAGGUACCUGAUGAAUAAGGACCGGCUAAUUCCGUGCCAGCAGCGGC